UUAGGAGAUAGUGACAGUUGUGAGCGCCGAAAGUUGCCGGAAGUGAUCAUCAGAGGUUGCCGGAGGUUAUCACCGAUGGUUGAAGACAAGUUCAAUUUCCUCGAAAAUCGCAUUAGAAAGCAUGCAACAGCACUUGUUGCUUCUGGUCUGUUUGAGGAACCAAUUGACCCUACAGUUGCUUCACAGAAAAGUGUAUUUGCAGUUGGCAUGAUCUGCUGUGAAGAAGAAGGCCAUUUGAAGGAGAAACCUGUCUUGCUGCAAAGCAGGUAAAGACUAUUGGUCUUGUCCUUUAGUUUCCCCCUAGGCGUUCAUCAGGAAUGUUGUGUUGUGUCC